CCCGCCCGCAAGGCCGCAGCCCGCAGCCAGAUUCCCCUCACCAAAAACCCUUCCGCCCUCCGCCGUGGCGCCCGCCGCCGCCGCCGGCCCCGCUCUCGUCCGCCUCCACUUCCUAGGCCGCGCCCCACCUCCCACGCGUCCUCCGCGGGACCUGGAUUCGUGCGGCGGUCGGCCCAGAGAUCAUCGCCCCGCCCGGCGGGCGCCCCCCCCCCCUCUCGCUGAAAGGCGCGCGCGCUCCAACUCGUCGUCGCCUGCGAUGCAGAGGAUACUAUCGAGGGCUGCUCGCCGUUGCACCAAUUCCUCGGCGGCAUUCAAAUCCCCACUCGCGCAGGCGAAUGUGGCAAGCGGACUUCAUUCUGAAGAUGCUCCAACUUGUUCUAAUGAAUAUGAUAAUUUGACAUGGAAGACUAGUUUGGUCAGAUCUAUGCAAGCAGACAUUGUCAAUGCUCUCCGUAGAGGUGAUCGGCAGCGGGCAUCAAUGAUUCUUUCAAACUUUCAAAACACUGAUUGGGCAUUGACUAAAGAUGAUUUCUCUUAUAUAUUGGAGUAUUGCGCAGAAGCACCUGAUCCUUUGUUUGUUAUGGAAACUUUGGAAUUCAUGGAGGAGAAGGCUAUUGGUAUGAGUAAGGGUAUCUACAGAUAUGUCAUUCGUGCCCUGAGCAGAGGAGGAUACUCGAAGGAGGCACUUCACUGGCUGACUCUUCUAGGGGAGAAAGAAAGCACUCAUGCCACUUUGCCAUUUUUUAAUAUCUUUCUAAACUCCUGUGGAAGUAGUGGAAAUCUGAAGGAUGCUGAAUGCUGUCUAGAGAUAAUGGAAAAUUAUCUUCUGGGGAAGUCUGAAAUAACGUACUAUGAGCUUUUGAAGAUUGCAGUCUUACAGGGAAAUCUGCCUGCAGUUUAUGAUAUUUGGAAGGACUGCACUAGAUAUUAUAGCCCAAGCAUUAUUAUGCAAAGGAAAAUUUUGAGGGCGUUAACCACGUUUGGUGACCUCCAAUCUGCAUAUCACAUCUUGCAGCAUAUGGUAGUCAUUGCUGCACAAAGCUCUGGCCAUCUGAGGUUGUCUUCUAAAAGAAGAUACCAAUCAUCAAGAUUAGACAUUCCUGUACUUGCAUUGAGUGAAUCGGAAGAUCUCAAAUUGUUACCAGACUGUAACCUGCAACCAUCUCAAGGGAAGCUGGCUACUGGUGAAAAUUCAGCUGAUGUUCAGCCUGAGUUAUUUGAGGAGAAAACUCAGUCAUUUGAAAUUGUUGAAUUGAAAGCUGAUGUAUUAUCUGAAGGCAACGAUCUUGCUGAUAAGGUUGGACUAGAGAAUGGGAGUGUUCCAGAUGCAUUGAGAUUUGUGGGAAGUGCAGUAAGGAGAAUUCUGAGAUGGUCGUUCAACGAUCUUAUGCAUGCAUGUGUACAAUUUAACAACUGUCAGUUAGCUGAGCAGUUAUUUCUAGAGAUGCAAAAACUUCGAUUGCGGCCAUCAAAAUUUACGUAUGAUGGGUUUGUCAAGACUGUGAUAGCUGGCAAAGGAGUUGCAUAUGCCAUGAAAGUGAUUGAAGUGAUGGAGAGAAGGGGCAUUAAACCUUACAAUGAUACACUUGCUGCUCUUUCAGAGGGUUAUAGCAAAAAAUUACAGUUGGAUUUGGCUGAGGACUUUUUGGAAAGAAUUUCAGAGAUACGACCAAAGCAUAUACGUGCCAUUAAUGCUUUGCUUUCUGGAUGUGAGAUUAUGAAUGAACCAGAAAGAGCUGUGCGCAUACUAGCUAAAAUGAAGCAAGUGAACAUGAAGGCAACUCUCAGGACGUAUGAACUUUUGUUUUCUCUGUUUGGCAAUAUCAAUGUUCCUUAUGAAGACGGAAAUGUGCUCUCUCAUGUUGAGGUUUCCAAAAGGAUAAGCAUAAUUGAGAUGGACAUGCUAAAUAAUGGAAUCCAACACAGUUUUGUGUCUAUGAAGAACUUAAUACGAGCUUAUGGAGCUGAGGGGAUGAUAGAGGAAAUGCUGAGGUACCUGAAUGUAGCUGAAAAUACCUUGUGGAACAUAAAUUCUUAUCAGAAGAGUGAUCUCUACAGUGUUGUGUUGCAUGCUCUUGUCCAAGCCAAGGAAAGUCACAAAGCAAUAAGGAUUUUCAAAAUCAUGAGAUCAUGCGGCAUUCCAACCGAUAUUUCAAUUUAUACUACCAUGAUAGAGUGCUGCAAAUGGUUACCAUGUUUCAAAUCAGCUAGGGCAUUGCUGUCUUUGAUGCUCCGAGAUGGCUUCCAUCCAACUGUCGUGACUUAUACAUCUCUCCUGAAGGUUGCAUUAGCAAAAGAUGAUUUUGAGGGGGCUCUGGAUCUGCUUGAUACAUGCAAAACUGAAGGAAUUGAGCCUGAUAUACAGAUGUUCAAUACAGUACUCUCACAUGCAUAUUAUAAAGGUCAAAUUCAUGUCAUCGAAUACAUUGUGGAGUGUAUACAUCGAGCAAAAAUCCAACCUGAUCCAUCAACACUCUGGUACACAUUUUGUGUGUACGAGGAGCAUGAACUUUACAAUACUGCAAUUGAGGCAUUGCAAGUACUCAGCAUGAGAAUGAUAUCUGAGGAUGUCAGCAUCUGUAGCGAGAAAAUAACUGUUUUUGAAGAUAUAAUCCUCAGUGAAGAGCCAGAUGCUGAACUGAGAAUCAUAAGGACAUUCGAAGCAGGUGAAGAGUUUCUUGCAACAGCUUUACUGAACCUGAGAUGGUGUGCGAUAAUGGGUGCCACCAUAUCUUGGUCACCAGAGGAGAGUCUUUGGGCAUGGAGGCUGGCAUCCUCGUACGAUGAUAACAGGAGACCACAUAUAAGCCCCCCGGAAGUCCCCCAAUCUUGGGGAAGGAAAUCCUAUUUCUGAGUAUCAGGAUAAGGAAACUAAUGGAGGCAGAACAGAGUCAUUGUCCCAAUCUAGUGGUAGGCAGAACCAAAUGAAUCUCUCUGCUAGGCAUGAUUACUACAUCAUGUUUUCUUUUGCUGGAAAGUAUCCAGUAGGUGGACUUCCUUUUACCUAAACACCAUGGUUGGACCUGCCUGCUUGUUCAUCACCACCCAUCCUGAAGCUUGGUCAUGAAAUUUGUUCUGCGAGGGGCUGGUCUGUUGGCCUGUUGCACCUUUUUGAGCUUUCUGGGCCGACAGCUUUUAGGCCAACAUUACUUGAUAGGUUGCUUACCUGUUAUUCAUCUAGCUCUAACCAUUACUAAUUGUAUCAGGAGCAUUCUGUGGAAUUUGUUGAAACAUAUUUGAUGGUGACGAAGAUUGAAUCACGUGGCACUGACGGAUAAAUAAGAGGUUACAACUCAACAGUAGCUGGAAGCUGGGUUGUAGCACCUCAAAACAACUUGUUCUAGUUAUUCUGGAGAAAUAUGGAUGUUGUUAUAACUUGGUCUGACAGAGGUGGAUUAAAGAAGUAUGGAGAAGAAUGAGGGAAGGAGCUGCUUCAAUCGACGCCAGGGCUGCUUUAGAGCACUUGCAGAUGCAAAGAAUAUUUGAUUUUGUACACAUCAGAUGAUAGCUAGAGGCUCUUGUACCACAUAUGUAUGUUUCCUUAUGCUGAUUUGUAAAUUAGCUGUUUGUACUGUAGAUUUUGUAAUUGCUCUUUCUCAGGACUAUUGAAAAUUGUUGUAUCUC